AUACUUACCUGGCAGGGGAGGUACCCUGAAGGUGGUUUUCCCAGGGUGAGGCUUAUGCAUUGCACUCUGGAUGUACUGACCCUGUGAUUUCCCCAAACGUGGAAAACUCAACUGCAUAAUUUGUGGUAGUGGGGGACUGCAAUCAUUCUCUUCCCUG